UACGUGCUUGAUCCUUCCAGUAAUCAUAUGCUUGUCUCAAAGAUUAAGCCAUGCAUGUGUAAGUAUGAACAAAUUCAGACUGUGAAACUGUGAAUGGCUCAUUAAAUCAGUUAUAGUUUGUUUGACAGUAUCUACUACUCGGAUAACCGUAGUAAUUCAAGAGCUAAUACAUGCAACAAACCCCAACUUCUGGAAGGGAUGCAUUUAUUAGAUAAAAGGUCGAUGCGGGCUCUGCCCGUUGCUACGAUAAUUGAUGAUAACUCGACGGAUUGCACAGCCAUUAUGCCGGCGACGUAUUAUUCAAAUUUCUGUCCUAUCAAGUUUCGAUGGUAGGAUAGUGGCCUAUCAUGGUGGUGACGGGUGGCGGAGAAUUAGGGUUCGAUUUCGGAGAGGGAGCCUGAGAAACGGCUACCACAUCCAAGGAAGGCAGCAGACGCACUAAUUACCCAAUCCUGACACGGGGAGGUAGUGACAAUAAAUAACAAUACCGGGCUCUAUGAGUCUGGUAAUUGAAAUGAGUACAAUCUAAAUCCCUUAACGAGGAUCUAUUGGAGGGAGAGUCUGGUGCCUGCAGCCGUGGUAAUUCCAGCACCAAUAGCGUAUAUUUAAGUUGUUGCAAUUAAAAAGCUUGAAGUUGGACUUUGGGAUUGGCCGGCCGGUCCGCCUAUGGUGUGCAUUGGUCGUCUCGUCCCUUCUGUCGGUGAUGCGCUCCUGGACUUAACUGGCCGGGUCGUGCCUCCGGUGCUGUUACUUUGAAGAAAUUAGAGUGCUUAGAUCAAGUAUACGCUCUGUAUACAUUAGCAUGGGAUAACAUUAUAGGAUUUUGGUCCAAUUACGUUGGCCUGCGGCUUAAUUUGACUCAACACAGGGAAACUUACCAGGUCAAGACAUAGUAAGGAUUGACAGACUAAGUGCUCUUUCUUGAUUCUAUGGGUGGUGGUGCUUGGCCGUUCUUAGUUGGUGGAGCAAUUUGUCUGGUUAAUUUCGUUAACGAACGAGACCUCAGCCUGCUAACUAGCUAUGCUGAGGUAUCCCUUCGCGGCUAGCUUCUUAGAGGGACUACGACCUUUUAGGCUGCGGAAGUUUGAGGCAAUAACAAGUCUGUGAUGCCCUUAGAUGUUCUUGGCCGCACGCGCGCUACACUGAUGUAUUCAACAUAUUUAUAGCCUUGGCCGCCAGGCCCGGGUAAUCUUUGGAAUUUCAUCGUGAUGGGGAUAGAUCAUUGCAAUUGUUGGUCUUCAACGAGGAAUUCCUAGUAAGCGCGAGUCAUCAGCUCGCAUUGACUACGUCCCUGCCCUUUGUACACACCGCCCGUCACUCCUACUGAUUGAAUAACCCGGUGAAAUGUUUGGAUCGCGGCGACGUGGGUGCAUCGCGGGCCGCCCGCGAUGCUGCGAGAACUCCAUUGAACCUUAUUAUUUUGAGGAAGGAGAAUUCGUAACAAAGUUUUCGUAGGUGAACCUGCGGAAGGAUCAUUG
rnacentral:rRNA from 1 species